CCUACGGGUGGCAGCAGUCGAGAAUCAUUCACAAUGGGGGAAACCCUGAUGGUGCGACGCCGCGUGGGGGAAUGAAGGUCUUCGGAUUGUAAACCCCUGUCAUGUGGGAGCAAAUUAAAAAGAUAGUACCACAAGAGGAAGAGACGGCUAACUCUGUGCCAGCAGCCGCGGUAAUACAGAGGUCUCAAGCGUUGUGCGGAAUCACUGGGCGUAAGGGGUGCGGAGGCUGUUUCGUAAGUCGUGUGUGAAAGGCGCGGGCUCAACCCGCGGACGGCACAUGAUACUGCGAGACUAGAGUAAGGGAAGGGGAGCCGGAAUUCUCGGUGUAGCAGUGAAAUGCGUAGAUAUCGAGAAGAACACUCGUGGCGAAGGCGGGUUACUGGACAGUAACUGACGCUGAGGCACGAAGGCCAGGGGAGCGAAAGGGAUUAGAUACCCGGGUAGUC
rnacentral:rRNA from 1 species